AUAAAUAAAAAAUAGCUCUAAAUAAAUAAACAAAAUAAAAAAUAAAAAAAAAAAAUAAAAAAUUAACUUAUAAUAGUAUAAUUAUUAGAAAUUUAAAUUGAAGCUAAAUAAAUAGUACUGUAAAGGAAAUUUGAAAAAUUUAAAUAAAGAAUUAAAUAAAAGAAGACCUUAAAAUUCUUACCUUUUGUAUUAUGGUUUAACAACAAUAAAAGAAUAAAAAUUCAAACCCCGAAACCAAGAGAUCUAAUGAAACCCCAACAUAUGGUUGUAAAGUAUUACUGUUGCAAAAGUAAAUAAAGAGGAAUCAUUAGACAUGAAAAAUGAAACGAGCUUGGUAAUAGCUGGUUUCCUGAAAAAUGAGCUUAAACUCAUGCUUUUAAUUAUGACUUAAAUAAUAUUAUCAUAAAAAUAAAAAGCAAAACCAAAAGGGAUAAACUUUUUGGUUUAAGGAAAAAGCCUACCUUAAUAGUUAAAAUCAAAAAUUAAAAAAAGAAUAAUAAACAUAGUAGGCCUAGAAGCAGCCACCAAAAAGAAAGCGUUAAAGCAUAAUAAAAAUAAAAACAAUAAUUAAUGAAAAACAAAAUUUUAACUUAAAAAAAUAACAGGACAAUAACUUAACUAAGUUAUAAGAUAAUGUUAAAAUUAGUAUUUUUUUGGUUAAAAAAUUUUUAAGCUAUUCUAACAAAUAUAUAAUGGAAGAAAGAAAAUAUUUUUUUCAAGAAAAAAAUUUUAUAAAAUAGUUUUACCAACACCGGAAACCAAAAAAUUAAAAAAACAAGAGGAAGGAACUCGGCAAAUAAAAGCUUCGCCUGUUUACCAAAAACAUUGCUCCUUGAAAAAUACUAAAUAAGGAGUACUGCCUGCCCAGUGACAAAAGUUAAACGGCCGCGGUAUUUUGACCGUGCAAAGGUAGCAUAAUCAUUUGUUCUUUAAUUGAGGACUAGUAUGAAAGGCAACACGAAAGCUUAACUGUCUCCCCCCUGAAAAAAGAAAUUAUUAUCUUCGUGAAGAAACAAAGAUAAAAACGCAAGACGAGAAGACCCUGUCGAGCUUAAGAAAAUUUUUAUAGAAUUAAAACACAGAUAAUUUAUAUACUAAAAACCAAAUAAAAAUAUCUUUGGUUGGGGCAACCACGAAGAAAAAAAAACCUUCGAUUAAAAAAAGAAAUAAACAAAUUUAAAAAUUUUUAAAAUUUUAAAGAUCCAGAAAAUACUGAUCAAAGGAAAAAGUUACCGCAGGAUAACAGCGUUAUUCUCUUUAAGAGUUCAUAUUGACAAGAGAGUUUGCGACCUCGAUGUUGGACCGGGACACCCCAGAGGUGCAACAGCCUCUAAAGGUAGGUCUGUUCGACCUUUAAAGCCCUACGCGAUCUGAGUUCAGACCGACGCAAGUCAGGUCAGUUUCUAUCUACGAAAAAAGUAGUUUUAUUAGUACGAAAGGAAUUUAAAACUAGAGUAAAUUUUUCUAUAAAAACUCUUAAAAAACUACUGAAAACAAAUAAAGAAAAACUU
rnacentral:rRNA from 1 species